ensembl:lncRNA
GCGCCCCAUCAGGUUAAAAUUUAUUAGAAAUGUUUGCUCAUCUCGUGGAACACUCACAGAACAAGUUCCUUGCAAUCCAAGGUUUUACUGUAGGUAUGAAACGGCAGAACAGUCACUAUUUUUGAAGUCUCACAAUAUGCUAGAGCUUUCACAAGCAUUAUUGCUACAACCGUCAUAAAAUCCCAUGCGUGGAGAAUUGCCACAUUUUGGAUGAGACAACGAAUCCUUUCGGAGAGGGUUAAGUGACGUGCACCACAGGUCACGGUGGGACCGAGAUUCGCACCAGGGUUGGACUGCCUCCACAGCACAAGGUCUCCAGUGGGGAGCCUGACAAAGAGCCUGGGAAAAGAAUGGCCGGGAGAAUAGCCCAGAGGCAGCCGCAGGCACCUUCUGAAAGCCGGAAGGACAGAGUCCAUCCCCAAGCCUGCCGCCAACGGCGGAGGAAGGCUCUGGCAGUGGGAGCAGAUGCCAGCAGGUACGAUCGGUGUCUGGCAGGAAGAUAGAACCAGAGCCUUCCGAGAGCACGGCCCAGGGGGCUCUGCAUCCAGUUGAGACAAUUAGUCCCUCUGACAUCACAGCGGGGCCUGUGCGGAGGUGGCCCCGGCCAAGCCUUGCGGCCCUGCUCUGGGACCCCCCACCCCCGCCCUCCCCCAGCUCCCCGAGCCGCGGAGCUGUGCUGUCCUGUCCUGUCAUUCAGUGAAAUGUCAGUGUGGGAGCAAACCGAGAGCAAACGUGUCUUUCAUUUGCCAAUUAGUCACUUACCACCUGUAACUGCUCUUGGGUGUGAUGUGCGGGCACGUGCUCUACAUUACUUAACCUCGCCUUGAUCUGGACUUGGUGUCCCCGCUCGAGUUUCAUUAAGUUCCCCGUGGGGCAGGACUGUCUUCUAUUUAACUGGAUGCCCCGGAGCACGAGGCAGACACACUCCUGGUGAUGGAGGGCCUGCUCCAGAGAAGGGAAGCAGCCCGGCCCCUCCCCGGUCGGUGGAGACAGCACCUGGGGCGGAGGUGACUGGUUCUGAUCACGGCCGUGCUUCCCCACCGGGGCUCAGGGAAUCCCUGCCCUGCCUCGCCCUCCCCUUCUGCCUCUGUGAGAAAUGGCAGCGGCACCACACGUGGGCGUGGGCGUCUGGUGUGAAGACGUUGGAGACCCUAGCUCCUGGUCUAGAGAUCCUGAUUCAUUGGUUUUCCCAUGACCCCAAGAGCCCAGGUUGGGCUGAAUACCAGAUGAUGACCACCACUGGACCACCACUGGUCCACCAGAAGGACCAGAUCAGAAGUCGCUCUCUUGGCCGGCACCCAGGCCUCCUCACCUACCUCCCCUGUAUCACAGUACAUCAGAGGCAGGCAGGCCCAGGCAGGUCUGGCACAGCGGCUCCCAGGUUGGGGCGGGAAAGUUGACAUCUUCUCAGAGUUUACACAAAGUGCAUGUGCCCUCACAGAACAUGUCCUCUGGGACCUCACAGGGACUCUGAGUGCCAUGAUCGGGACAUUCCUCAGGCUUGAAGCAGCCAGAUGCAAGCAUCUUCAGUUCGCAAUCCCACCACCAAAGUCUCAAAGACAGAAGGAGGAGUUGAUUUACUUGGGAACCAAGAAUUCCC